GAGGAGCUGGCGAGACUCGGGGGAGCGGGGCUGGCUCAGGACACAAAUCCAGGAGCCAUUCCUUCUGCCUGGGAGGAGGGAGUGAUGAAGACCAGAGGAAUCCCAGAGGAGAAGCCAUCUGAGAUCGGGAGGAGGAGAAAUGGAACAUCAGGCGGAGGAAACAGCCCAGACAAUCGCACUGGGACGUGAAAACCCUUGGGCUGCAUGCGGGGAGAAAACCAGAAUUGGGGAUGGUUAGGGUUUUGGAGGGAAACACAGGGACAUGUGACCAAAAAUAAUAAUAACUACUGUUACUUAUUGAGGACUUUCUAUGUACUAGAAUAAGAAAAUCAUGAUAGCUAAGACUGAUAAAACGCUAAGUGUCAAACGCUGUCUUCAGCACUUUACACAUAUUCACUUAUUUAAUUAAUCGGAGAAAAUAACUUUUAUGAGCCAGGGACUCUGCAUACAUUAUCUCUUUUCAUUAGCCCAGUAAUCCCAUGGGGUAGGUACUAGUACUAUCCCUGUUUUAGAAAUGAGGAAAUCAAACCUGAGAGGCUAAACCACUUGCCCAAGAUUACAC
rnacentral:lncRNA from 1 species